GCUGAAGUAGCUCAGCUGGGAGAGCAUUAGACUGAAGAGCUAAAGUUCCCUGGUUCAAUCCCAGGCUUUAGCA